GACCGAAACUCGAACUGUAGCCUUUAUGGCUUGCGUUCCGAAAGGAUAGAGUUUCGGUUUUUU
rnacentral:sRNA from 12 species